rnacentral:rRNA from 1 species
AGAGUUUGAUCCUGGCUCAGGAUGAACGCUAGCGGCGUGCCUAAUGCAUGCAAGUCGAACGGGAACCUUUGGACUCGUCUGAAGGUGAGAGUGGCGAACGGGUGAGUAACACGUAGGUGACCUACCCCAGAGAGGGGGACAACCAGUGGAAACGCUGGCUAAUACCCCGGAUGUCAAUCUGGUUAGAGUGGAUUGACUAAAGCUCCGGCGCUCUGGGAGGGGCCUGCGUCCCAUCAGCUAGUUGGUGAGGUAAUGGCUCACCAAGGCAAAGACGGGUAGGGGGCGUGAGAGCGUGACCCCCCACACUGGUACUGACACACGGACCAGAUACCUACGGGUAGCAGCAGCAAGGAAUAUUGCGCAAUGGGCGAAAGCCUGACGCAGCAACGCCGCGUGAAGGAUGAAGGCCUUCGGGUUGUAAACUUCUUUUCUGGGGGAAGAGAAAGGACGGUACCCCAGGAAUAAGGCCCGGCUAACUACGUGCCAGCAGCCGCGGUAAAACGUAGGGGUCGAGCGUUAUCCGGAAUUACUGGGCGUAAAGCGCGUGUAGGCGGCAGCUUAAGUCGGACGUGAAAGCUCCUGGCUCAACUAGGAGAUGCCGUUCGAAACUAGGCAGCUCGAGGGUGGUAGAGGCAAGUGGAAUUCCCGGUGUAGUGGUGAAAUGCGUAGAUAUCGGGAGGAACACCAGUGGCGAAGGCGGCUUGCUGGGCCAUUCCUGACGCUGAGACGCGAAAGCUAGGGGAGGGAACGGGAUUAGAAACCCCGGUAUUCCUAGCCGUAAACGAUGUCAACUAGGUGUAGGUGGUGAUUGACCCCAUCUGUGCUGUAGCUAACGCGUUAAGUUGACCGCCUGGGGACUACGGCCGCAAGGCUAAAACUCAAAGGAAUUGACGGGGACCCGCACAAGCAGCGGAGCGUGUGGUUUAAUUCGAGCUACGCGAAGAACCUUACCAGGGUUUGACAUAUACGUGGUAGGAAACUGAAAAGGGACCGACCCCUCGGGGAGCGUAUACAGGUGCUGCAUGGCUGUCGUCAGCUCGUGCCGUGAGGUGUUAGGUUAAGUCCUGUAACGAGCGCAACCCUCGUCGUUAGUUAUAAGUGUCUAACGAGACUGCCGGUGAUAAGCCGGAGGAAGGUGGGGAUGACGUCAAGUCCGCAUGGCCUUUAUAUCCUGGGCUACACACACGCUACAAUGGCCAGUACAAUGGGCAGCCAAGCCGCGAGGCGGAGCCAAUCCCACAAAGCUGGUCUCAGUUCGGAUUGUAGGCUGCAACUCGCCUGCAUGAAGUCGGAGUUGCUAGUAACCGCGCGUCAGCAACAGUGCGGUGAAUACGUUCCCGGGUCUUGUACACACCGCCCGUCACGUCAUGGAAGUUGGCAACGCCUGAAGUCAGUGGGCUAACCCUAACGGGAGGCAACUGCCUAAGGCGGGGUCGGUAACUGGGACGAAGUCGUAACAAGGUA